GGGUGCUGCCGUUAGUGUUUUGGGGCAGGCAGCUAUGGCGCCUUGUGGUCAGGAGGAAGAUUGCGUGCCCCCUCCCCGGGCAGUGAGAAAGUGUCCGAUUGACCUUUUUUAUCCUGCUCGGGUGCCCCCUUUGUGCCCUCGCCACAGUGGAUGAACAGUUCCAGGGCUGCGCUUCCCUCCUUUCGCGGUCCUGCUCGCCCUCCUCUGCUGCCGCCUCGUGCGAGGAGUGGGCGGCUGCAGCAGCUGCCUGCCCCACAGCUGGGGGCAUCCCUUCACCCCAUAGCCUGGCCCAGCCUGUCCUCCUACCUGUUGCAGUGGCAGGCGAGGAGAAGGGCAAGGAAUCGGGCUGUAAAGAGGGAGGGGAAGAGCAGCAGACAUUUAGUCGCUCCUUGUUAGCAUGCUCACUACCCCCAGUUAGCCAUGUCUCUUAACAACCAAGGGUUAUUAACAUCACUUGCUACUUCCCUUCCUCCUCCAAGGGUUUGUACAGGACAGCUGGGUUUGUUCUACAGAAACCUGGAGGCUGCUGUCCUGUUUCCGUACCUUCGCAUGGAUAGAUGGUGCUGGCUUCCCAUGUCCUAGGUAUGUGUGCCCAGUUUGGGUGUGGUGCCAGGGCACAGUGGAAUCCCUCUUGGCAUGAUGUGCUUUGGCCUCCGUUGUCACCCAGCAGAGCUGUGGGUUGUGACAGUCCUGCCUGGAGCACUGGUCUUUUGGUUUCAGAGUCGCACACUGGUAUAAGUUGGUCAGAGAAUGGAUGGGGCAUAGGGGUGUUCAGAGCAAAUGUGGUUAGGGUGUUGGUGUGCUGAGGCCACAGUCUGUUAUGCUCAGGGGUGUCCCGUUGCUAUGUUGGGCUCCCUCUUUUUCCACAGGCUGUGCUGCGCGGGGCAGGACCGCCUGUCCGGUGCGCAUAGACCCAGGGCAGUGCUGCAGUGCUGGUAGUGAAGAGUGGUUAGAAGGUGGCUGUCAGAAAGGGGUAUGAUGCAUCACACUCGCUGCCCUUGCACAAAUGCUGCACCCUCUCUAGCUGCCUGCUGCAUCCUCUGCUUGCCUUGCAGCCUGGACUUUCUAACCGUAGUGCAAAGCACCGAGGGCAAUAACAGUAUCACCCAUGUCGUGUCUGCCCUUCUUGUUCACACCUGAAAUAUUGCUUGUGCCACGCUCCAUUCCUUCUGGUGGAGGCUUGUUUUCCAGAUACAUGUGCAUUACUGCUUCCCUGCUCUCCUUGCAAAGGCAUGUUGUGUCGGCAACCCCAAACACUGGCUUUGCCAGCGAGCGUAUUGCACUGGGACUCCUGGACCAGUCACUGCACGCUCUCACUCCUUGUCUUCCAGCUGUUCUUGGUCCCAGAUCAUUAAAGAAGACGGUAAAUAGGACUGGAUGUAGCAAACCCCUCCCUGCAGCCCCAUUCCACACCUCCCUCCAGCUUUACACUGCCAUUUCUCACCCUCCCCUGUGUACCCACACCCGGGUCACUUGCACUCCGCAGUCGCUGUUUCUGAGUUGACUUCACCCGGAGAAUGUCUGACAUGGUGCUGCGUGUCUUACUAUCGUGUAUUUAAAUGACAUCUGCCAUUUUUUUCCAACAACCACUGUUUCCUCCAGAGGUCAUUGAUAUCUGCUGCCGGUAUGUCGUGUUUGAGAUGAUCCUUUUGUCUUUCAUUUUAUUUUUAUUUUUCAUCAUAAUUGUUAUACUUAUUUUGCAAAAUAAAAACAUUUAUUAAAAA